CUACGGGGCGCUGCAGCAAGGAAUAUUGGGCAAUGGGCGAAAGCCUGACCCAGCGACACCGCGUGGAGGAAGAAGGCCUUCGGGUCGUAAACUCCUUUUCCCAGGGAAGAAUAAUGACGGUACCUGGGGAAUAAGUCUCGGCUAACGACGUGCCAGCAGCCGCGGUAAUACGUAGGAGGCGAGCGUUAUCCGGAUUUACUGGGCGUAAAGCGGGCGUAGGCGGCCUGUCAAGUCGGAUGUGAAAUCUCCCGGCUUAACUGGGAGGGUGCAUCGGAAACUGGCAAGCUUGAGUGCAGCAGAGGAAAGUGGAAUUCCCGGUGUAGUGGUGAAAUGCGUAGAUAUCGGGAGGAACACUAGUGGCGAAGGCGGCUUUCUGGGCUGUAACUGACGCUGAGGUCCGAAGGCGUGGGGAGCAAACAGGAUUAGAUACCCCAGUAGUC
rnacentral:rRNA from 1 species